CCCAGCAGAUUCCUGCAUCAUGCUCCUACGCCACUCAUCACAGGGGAAGAAGCACUCAGAGGAGCAGAAGGAAGAAUGAGUCAGUCCCAUGGAGCAUCGUGGGAGGAGAGCAGGUGAGUCUGGAGAUGUGGGCCACGCCACUGGCUGUCGCAACCACAGCGUCGGACCCAAGAAACUGCUCGCCCAUGGGGUGCCUCAGUGGUCCCACCGCUAAAGAGAGAGAAAUCACAAGUAAGCAGAGAGGCAGAUAGAGAGA